UUGGUUUUCGCUAGCGAAAGAGGAGCGAAAGCACACGGAGAACAUCAGCUUUGGCUCGUACUUGCUGUGUGAUCGGUUGUAACGUUAGAUCGCGCGACCGGAAAGGGAACAAGCCUGAAAAUGGUUUAUCUUUUCAUUCUUUCCCCACCUGGAAGCAACAUGAGGGAGCUCGUGUUGCGGAUGUAACCAAAAGACGGCGUCUAGCCUGGAUAGCAGCUGUGAGAAGACCUGGUAUCAAGUUCUCUUCCAUCUCCAAACAUCUGUUGGUGUGCUCGAGACAUUUUCAUUCUGGUAAACCAGCCUAUGUAAUGGAUGAGACAAAUCCUGACUGGGUUCCAACGCUGCAUAUGGGGCACUCCGGAAUCCUAACAUCUAAUUCUGACCGUCGCAGGCGGCGAACGCAACGACAGAAACAAAGAGCGCCAGUCCGAGAGGUAGUAGAGUGUGAAGGUGAGGCCUGUGCAGAAGUUACACAUGAAGAGCAGCCCGAGUUGGACACGACAGAAGACCAACACCAUGAUCACCUUGCCAAGGAGGCUGCGGGCCAGAGUUGUGUUGGACAAGUGGAGGCCGAGUUAGCAGCUGCAAAUGUAGAAAAUCUUGAUCUGACAGUAAGACACACAGAAGCUACAAGACAGACAAAGGAUUGUGUGUGCUGUGAACAGAGCAGAAGUAAACCGGCUGUUGGAGGAGAACAGGAAGCUUCAAUCACAACUGAAAAAGACAGAGCUGAAUGAAAAUUUUUUAAAGGAUGACACGGAAAAAGUAAGAUAUUACACUGGACUACCUUGUUUUGUAAUUUUACUGGCCGUGUUCAACAAUGUAAAAGCUUUCCUGCCAGCGUCACAGAAACUGUCGCAUUUCCAAAUGCUAUUACUCACACUCAUGCGUCUCAGACUUGAUCUUCCUGUCCAGCAUCUUUGUCAUCUAUUCAACAUUUCCCACAAAACUCUGUCUUCUGUCUUUACCGAUACCAUUGAUGUUUUGUAUGCCCGCUUAAGAGCCCUGGUGCACUGGCCAGAGAGGCACUGUUUACAGGCUACAAUGCCCCCUCAAUUUAUUGAAAUUUUUGGAAAACGGGUAGCCAUCAUUGUAGAUUGUUUUGAAAUUUGUAUAGAAAGACCAUCAAAUUUAAAGGCACGUGCACAAACAUACUCUCACUGUAAGGGUACACACACCAUGAAAUACCUCAUUGGGAUUACACCUCUAGGUGCAAUUUCAUUCAUUUCCAAGGGGUGGGGGGGAUGUGCAUCAUACAGACAUAUCACAGAGAGAUGUGGUAUUCUUCAAAGGCUGUUACCAGGGGAUGUAGUUUUGGCUGACAGAGGCUUUAACAUCACAGAUGCUGUGGGAACGAUGUGUGCAGAGGUUAAGACUCCUGCAUUUACAAAGGGCUUCUGUCAACUCGAUGCCAGGGACAUAGAAGAUACGAGAGCUACUGCCCACCUAAGAAUUCAUGUUGAGCGAGUAAUAGGUAUUUUGCGCAAUAAGUUCAAAAUGCUACAUACCACCAUGCCAAUCGAUCUACUUCUUCCAUGUGAGGGUGAAGAUUUGACCCUUCUUGAUAAAAUAGUGAAGGUUUGCUGUGUUUUGGUGAACAUGUGGCCCAGUGUGGUUGUAAAACCAGAGACAACUGAAACUUGCUCUUGUUAAAUAUUCGUAAACAACGUGUGCUUUGUGUUGUGAUUAUUUCUCUUAAGACAUAGUAAUUUCAAGACAGUUGGUAGUGGGUUAUGUUAUAAAAACGUUGUCAUUACAUUAUGUAAUCAUUAUUGUAUUUGUAAACUGUAACUGACACUUACUCUUCACUCUAACUACUUUGAUCGCCUUUGAAGUUGUUGUAAUAAAGUAAUGAAAGUCGGAAAAAAA